rnacentral:tRNA from 1 species
GGAAGUCAUCCGGCUGGAUGAGGACGCUGUCUUGAAAACAGCGGGCGGCAUGGCCGCUUGUGGGUUCGAGUCCCACGGCUUCCG